GUAGGAGUGUCUCUUGGACUGCUUCCAGAAGAGGAGUGCUGUAUAGUUGGAGUGUCCCUUCACUACUUGGCACCCCAAGAGAAGUUGGUAUAGCUGACCCAAGGUCAUCUCCAGAGUAUCGUUUGCCAGAACCAAAACAUAGCAUCUUACCAGACACUGAAGAAAACAAUUCCAUCCAGCUGGAACUAAGACAACUGCAGAAAUAGAAGGAAGAAUGUAGUUUUGGAAAAUUGAUCCAAUCAAGAGGCAGUUGCAAGUGUUAGAAUCUCGUUAAUAUCCAGUCUUUUCUCCAGUGUUACACUUGCGCUUCCACGGUCCCUGUGCACCCCAAAAGUGGGUCCCCAUCUUCAAGGAGAAUGGGGGAGAUGUUCUGUGAGCUUUCUGCAUCCCCCGGUUCAUCAGUAAGAGGAGAACUGUGACUUGGAUGCUUUCUCUCCCUUACUCCAGAUUACACAUGCUGUACUCGUUUGCUUUCUUCUUAUUGUUUUUUUCUUUCACUGUGUACACAUUAACAUUUAUUCUUGGUUCUUCUUAAGCCAGUUCCUUGGUUGAGUUUUUUUUUUUAAUGACAGUAAUUAACUAUCAAUCAUUAUUUCCCUGGGGUCUCUAGUAUUAUUCUCUGGUUUUGUUUUGUUUGUUUGUUUGUUUGUUUGUUUGUGAAAACUUCUUUCCUUGGCUGAGAAUUUUGAGAGCAGUUUAGUGUUUUAUAGGUGAUGUGGGGCAUUUAAUUGUAGCUUGAACUUAGGCUUGGCCAUAGCAUUUGUUAUUUCCCUUAAAUCUAGUUACUCAUCUUGACUUCUGGAGGCUGUUUAAUUUUUGAUUCUCUCUUUUCUCAACUGAAAUAAGUAA